rnacentral:rRNA from 1 species
AGUGAACGCUGGCGGUAGGCCUAACGCAUGCAAGUCGAACGGCAGCACAGUAAGAGCUUGCUCUUACGGGUGGCGAGUGGCGGACGGGUGAGGAAUACAUCGGAAUCUACUUUUUCGUGGGGGAUAACGUAGGGAAACUUACGCUAAUACCGCAUACGACCUACGGGUGAAAGCAGGGGAUCUUCGGACCUUGCGCGAUUGAAUGAGCCGAUGUCGGAUUAGCUAGUUGGCGGGGUAAAGGCCCACCAAGGCGACGAUCCGUAGCUGGUCUGAGAGGAUGAUCAGCCACACUGGAACUGAGACACGGUCCAGACCCCUACGGGAGGCAGCAGUGGGGAAUAUUGGACAAUGGGCGCAAGCCUGAUCCAGCCAUACCGCGUGGGUGAAGAAGGCCUUCGGGUUGUAAAGCCCUUUUGUUGGGAAAGAAAAGCAGCAGGUUAAUACCCCGCUGUUCUGACGGUACCCAAAGAAUAAGCACCGGCUAACUUCGUG